GACCAAUUUCCAGGGCUUACUGGCCUUAUAGCUCCUGUGGGUUCCUGAGCACCUGGGAUGGAGCAGUAUUUCUCAGAUGAUGGGAGAUUCUGGGGUCCCCUGGUCUGUCAGUUUCAUAGAUCAUGGGUCCAGGUGGGGAUUGUGAGCUGGGGUGAUCGCUGUGGUUUGAAAGAAGUGCCUGCAGUGUACACAGAUAUUGGAUCAUUUUAAGAAUGAGUCGAGCAUCGGGUCUGGACUCUGGAUUUCUUAUUCUACUACUGUGUCUGUUGCUGCCUCUGGGCAUCCUGGCAACCCUGUGAUCACCCUGGCCCCUGCCAUUCCUGUUUCUGAGUCUCACAUUAGCCCUGCCUCUGAGAUCCCACUCCUACUCAAUACCCUGUCCUCAAAUCCAUUUGGGAUCCACUGAUCCUGUGGAGAUCCACAAGACAGAGUGGCAGCAAGUGGAGACUGAAACUGUACCUGCCUGGUGCUCCAGGAACCUGCCUCAUCCAGGCCUAUCUGUAGGCCAUGGUCUGCUUGCCAGGAAGGACUGGGUGAAACCAUCCCAGCUGGAUGGACAGUGACGUGCCCAGUGAUGCGUCAGGAUGCUGCACGAGUCUUGGAGAACAUUUUUCCAUUGUCGCCGGUGAAGCAGUGUCAGACCUGACACUUUAUCAAACCAGUCCACCUGAUGACUGUUGGGAGGGAGGAGGCCUCGUCAUUUCCAUCUCUGACUCAGUUGGGUUGGGAGAAGGUCCCCCACUUCCCAGUGCAGAUCACUCUGUGAGUGUGCAGGCUCUGAGCCACACAAACCCUCGUGGGUCAGCUCAGUCUUGGAACCACCUUCCCAGUGCUGCAGUGGCGACAUCUGCACUCACCACUCAGCAUUUAGGAGAGUGGAAAUUUCAGGUAUGAAACUAAUAAAUGUUUGGAGAGUCUCUUGUA